rnacentral:rRNA from 1 species
AUACGGAGGAUGCGGGCGUUAUCCGGAUUUAUUGGGUUUAAAGGGUGCGUAGGCGGAUCAAUAAGUCAGUGGUGAAAUUCUGCAGCUUAACUGUAGACUUGCCAUUGAUACUGUUGGUCUUGAGUAUGGUCAAGGUAGGCGGAAUGUGUAAUGUAGCGGUGAAAUGCUUAGGUAUUACACAGAACACCGAUUGCGAAGGCAGCUUGCUGGGCCAAUACUGACGCUGAUGCACGAAAGCGUGGGGAGC